rnacentral:rRNA from 1 species
UGGGGAAUAUUGACAAUGGGCGCAAGCCUGAUCCAGCCAUGCCGCGUGAGUGAUGAAGGCCUUAGGGUUGUAAAGCUCUUUCGCCGGUGAAGAUAAUGACGGUAACCGGAGAAGAAGUCCCGGCUAACUUCGUGCCAGCAGCCGCGGUAAUACGAAGGGGGCUAGCGUUGCUCGGAAUCACUGGGCGUAAAGCGCACGUAGGCGGAUCGUUAAGUCAGGGGUGAAAUCCUGGAGCUCAACUCCAGAACUGCCCUUGAUACUGGCGAUCUCGAGUUCGAGAGAGGUUGGUGGAACUCCGAGUGUAGAAGUGAAAUUCGUAGAUAUUCGGAAGAACACCAGUGGCGAAGGCGGCCAACUGGCUCGAUACUGACGACUGAGGUGCGAAAGCGUGGGGAGCAAAACAGGAUUAGAUACCCUGGUAGUCCACACCGUAAAACGAUGAUGCUAGCCGUUGGGGGGUUUACCUCUCAGUGGCGCAGCUAACGCCUUAAGCAAUCCCGCCUGGGGAAGUACGGUCGCAAGAUUAAAAACUUAAAUGAAUUGAC